GACGUAGGGGGCAAGCGUUGUCCGGAUUUAUUGGGCGUAAAGAGCUCGUAGGCGGCUCAGAAAGUCGGGUGUGAAACCUCCAGGCUCAACCUGGAGACGCCACCUGAUACUGCUGUGGCUAGAGUCCGGUAGGGGAACACGGAAUUCCCGGUGUAGCGGUGAAAUGCUUAGAUAUCGGGAGGAACACCAGUGGCGAAGGCGACUACCUGGCCCAUUCUUGACGCUGAGGCGCGAAAGCUAGGGGAGCGAACGGG
rnacentral:rRNA from 1 species